AUGGCAGGAGGGGCGAACCUCCAUGGGAUGGGUCGCCACCAAGGAGAUGGAGCUCCUUCUCCAUCCAAUUUGGCCAUCUCCGGCCGCCUCCUCCAGAUCCUUGCCGACCACGGCCCCCUCACCGUCGUCAACACCUGGAACCACGCCAAGACACCUGGUGGUGAGGUCACCCAUCCUCGAGGAGCAGAAGGAGGGACGCAUCAAGGGCCUGCUCUGCUCCUCUUCUUCCUUGACCAUCGGUACCACCACGUUCCCGGGCUUCCAAGGUGCGCCAGCACACCGCCGCCAUGCCUCCUCUGCUCUCCAGGCUCGGACCAAUCACUCGACCCUUCAGAUGAGUCCGUCGAUGAAGCGGCAGCGUCUCCUCUAGGGGGUGACGGUGGUGGCGGCGCCUGUGUGCGGCUUCGACUACAACCUCCUCUCCGGUUGGCUAAUGAGCUUUAG
rnacentral:rRNA from 1 species